AUUGAACGCUGGCGGCAGGCUUAACACAUGCAAGUCGAGCGAGCGGCAGACGGGUGAGUAAUGUCUGGGAACGUGCCUGGUGGAGGGGGAUCGAUACUGGAAACGGUAGCUAAUACCGCAUCCCCUCAGCUGUGCCCAUAUGGGAUUAGCUAGUAGGUGGGGUAAGGGCUCACCUAGGCGACGAUCCCUAGCUGGUCUGCGAGGAUUACCAGCCACACUGGAACUGAGACACGGUCCAGACUCCUACGGGAGGCAGCAGUGGUGAAUAUUGCACAAUGGGCGCAAUCCUGAUGCAGCCAUGCCGCGGGUGUGAAGAAGGCCUUCGGGUUGUAAAGUACUUUCAGCGAGGAGGCGUUACUCGCAGAAGAAGCACCGGCUAACUCCGUGCCAGCCGCCGCGGUAAUUC
rnacentral:rRNA from 1 species